ACACUCCUGCGGGAGGCAGCAGUGGGGAAUUUUGGACAAUGGGCGAAAGCCUGAUCCAGCAAUGCCGCGUGUGUGAAGAAGGCCUUCGGGUUGUAAAGCACUUUUGUCCGGAAAGAAAUCCUUGGCUCUAAUACAGUCGGGGGAUGACGGUACCGGAAGAAUAAGCACCGGCUAACUACGUGCCAGCAGCCGCGGUAAUACGUAGGGUGCGAGCGUUAAUCGGAAUUACUGGGCGUAAAGCGUGCGCAGGCGGUUUGCUAAGACCGAUGUGAAAUCCCCGGGCUCAACCUGGGAACUGCAUUGGUGACUGGCAGGCUAGAGUAUGGCAGAGGGGGGUAGAAUUCCACGUGUAGCAGUGAAAUGCGUAGAGAUGUGGAGGAAUACCGAUGGCGAAGGCAGCCCCCUGGGCCAAUACUGACGCUCAUGCACGAAAGCGUGGGGAGCAAACAGGAUUAGAAACCCCUGUAGUCCCAUG
rnacentral:rRNA from 1 species